rnacentral:rRNA from 1 species
AGAGUUUGAUCAUGGCUCAGAUUGAACGCUGGCGGCAUGCCUUACACAUGCAAGUCGAACGCGAAAGGGGGGCAACCCCCGAGUAGAGUGGCGAACGGGUGAGUAAUGCAUCGGAACGUACCCAGUAGCGGGGGAUAACCUCUCGAAAGAGAGGCUAAUACCGCAUACGACCUACGGGUGAAAGAGGGGGAUCGCAAGACCUCUCACUAUUGGAGCGGCCGAUGUCGGAUUAGCUAGUUGGUGGGGUAAAAGCCUACCAAGGCCACGAUCCGUAGCUGGUCUGAGAGGACGGCCAGCCACACUGGAACUGAGACACGGUCCAGACUCCUACGGGAGGCAGCAGUGGGGAAUUUUAGACAAUGGGCGAAAGCCUGAUCCAGCCAUGCCGCGUGAGUGAAGAAGGCCUUCGGGUUGUAAAGCUCUUUCGGCUGGGACGAAAAGGUCCGUGCUAACACCACGGAUCCAUGACGGUACCAGCAGAAGAAGCACCGGCUAACUACGUGCCAGCAGCCGCGGUAAUACGUAGGGUGCAGGCGUUAAUCGGAAUUACUGGGCGUAAAGCGUGCGCAGGCGGUUUGCUAAGACAGGUGUGAAAUCCCCGGGCUUAACCUGGGAACUGCGCUUGUAACUGGCAAGCUUGAGUGUGGCAGAGGGGGGUGGAAUUCCACGUGUAGCAGUGAAAUGCGUAGAGAUGUGGAGGA